rnacentral:lncRNA from 1 species
ACACCCAGGAAGCAUAGAUGGAGACAGAAAGAAGGCAAAUCUUUGGGAUGCGCCCCCAGCACGGGGCCAGAGGAGGAACAUGCCCCUGGAGAGGAUGAAAGCUCUCCUCAGCCCAGCCAGCCCUCUAGGGAGAGGCUUCCCUGGCCCAAAAGAAAACCCCCACACAAUCACCCCAUGGGAAUGCCUGGAGCCCGUAAAGCCGCUGCCCUCUCUGGAGGCCUCUUGUCCGAUCCUGAGUUGCAGAGGAAGAUUA